GAUGAACGCUGGCGGCGUGCUUAACACAUGCAAGUCGAACGGAAAGGCUCCUGCUUGCAGGGGUACUCGAGUGGCGAACGGGUGAGUAACACGUGGGUGAUCUGCCCUGCACUUCGGGAUAAGCCUGGGAAACUGGGUCUAAUACCGGAUAGGACGAUGGUUUGGAUGCCAUUGUGGAAAGUUUUUUCGUUGUGGGAUGAGCUCGCGGCCUAUCAGCUUGUUGGUGGGGUAAUGGCCUACCAAGGCGUCGACGGGUAGCCGGCCUGAGAGGGUGUACGGCCACAUUGGGACUGAGAUACGGCCCAGACUCCUACGGGAGGCAGCAGUGGGGAAUAUUGCACAAUGGGCGCAAGCCUGAUGCAGCGACGCCGCGUGGGGGAUGACGGCCUUCGGGUUGUAAACUCCUUUCGCUAGGGACGAAGCGCAAGUGACGGUACCUGGAGAAGAAGCACCGGCUAACUACGUG
rnacentral:rRNA from 1 species